GGGCUUUCUGCGCAUGUGCGCGGUGUGGCUCCAGGUGAAGGAUGCCCGGAGGCCUCGGCAGGACCGUGCGGAAACGGGCCUUCUGCCCAAAAGAUGCUGCUUCUCUCCUUAUUCUUUCCCCUCAGAAUCUCGCUGUCUCCUUCCAACCACCUGUGGUCGGCAUCCCCGCGUUGUCACUGCGACGCAGAGGUCGCAGCUUCAUGGCCUGAUGCCUUCAGGAAGUAUUUUGAAGUCAUCGUGGCUGUGGAUUGGGGGAUUUCUUGUUUCCACUGACCUGUGAGGCCGCGCACGUGGAGGGAGGCACCCCGGGUCCUCCGGCACUGUCCGGCCUCGCCUGUGUCCCUAGUAGCAGUGGGCAUUUCCAGACGGUGCAGCUUGUGGCUAAAGUGACAGGAAGAUGUAGGAGCUUUCAGUCUUGGAUGAGGAUUCGAACUGAAGGGCUUAGGCCCAGCUGUCUUGGAGCAAAACAUCUGUUGUGGGAUGUGGCGGCAGAGGAGGGCAAGGCCGAAGGAGCAGACAGCACCGCUUCUUGGGGAGUUGUGAAGGCAUCAUGCGGAGGGCCGAGCUUAGCAGCCAAGUGGAGGACAGCACCCUCCAUGCCUGGAUUCGUUACUCGCUCGUUCUCGAUGUUGAGCUGCUGGCAUAUUGCAGCACAACUAGAGAUGUACGGAUGCCCCCAUCUUGAUCUUACAGAAUCAGAGGUGCAGCCGCAAGAAAGGUCUCUACACCCUCUCGGUUUUCUCUGCUCUGCCAACACUAGUGGAAUAUGAUCACAUCCCAGGGAUCAGUGUCAUUUAGGGAUGUGACUAUGGGCUUCACUCAAGAGGAGUGGCAUCAUCUGGACCCUGCUCAGAGGACCCUGUAGAGGAAUGUGAUGCUGGAGAACUACAGCCACCUUGUCUCAGUAGGGUAUUGCAUUCCUAAACCAGAAGUGAUCCUCAAAUUGGAGACAGGCAAGGAGCCAUGGAUAUUAGAGGAAAAAUUUCGAAGCCAGAGUCAUCUGGGUGAGUUAGUGCCAGAUGGAAUUUAAAGAAUUAAUUAAUACCAGUAGAAACUAUUCAAGAAUGAAGUUCAAUGAGUUUAACAAAGGUGGAAAAUGUUUCUGUGAUGAAAGCAUGAAAUAAUUCAUUUUGAAGAGGAACCUUCUGAAUAUAAUAACAAUGGGAACAGCUUCUGGCUGAAUGAAGACCUCAUUUGGCAUCAGAAGAUUAAAAAUUGGGAGCAACCUUUUGAAUACAAUGAAUGUGGGAAAGCUUUCCCUGAGAAUUCACUCUUCCUUGUACAUAAGAGAGCUUACACAGGACAGAAAACAUGCAAAUAUACUGAACAUGGGAAAACCUGUUAUAUGUCAUUUUUUAUUACUCAUCAGCAAACACAUCCAAGAGAGAACCACUAUGAAUGUAAUGAAUGUGGAGAAAGUAUCUUUGAGGAAUCCAUUCUCUUUGAACAUCAGAAUGUUUACCCAUUCAGCCAGAAUUUAAAUCCCACUCUAAUUCAGAGAACCCACUCAAUUAGCAAUAUUAUUGAAUAUAAUGAAUGUGGAACCUUUUUCAGUGAAAAAUUAGCCCUUCAUUUACAACAGAGAACACAUCCAGGGGAAAAACCUUAUGAAUGUCAUGAAUGUGGAAAAACCUUCACCCAGAAGUCAGCCCACACAAGACAUCAGAGAACACACACAGGGAAAACCCUAUGAAUGUCACGGAUGUGGGAAGACCUUCUAUAAGAAUUCAGACCUCAUUAGAAAUCAAAGAAUUCACACAGGGGAGAGACCUUACAGAUGUCAUGAAUGGAGAAAUCCUUCAGUGAAAAGUCAUCCCUUACUCAAAAUCAGAGAACACACGUGGGGAGAAAUCAUGAAUGUCAUGAAUGUGGGAAAACCUCGUUUAAGUCAGUUCUAACUGUGCAUCAGAAAACACACAGGGGAGAAGCCCUAUGAAUGCUAUGCAUGUGGCAACACCUUUCUCAGAAAAUCCGACCUCAUUAAACAUCAGAGAAUUCACACAGGAGAAAAACCUUAUGAAUGUAAUGAAUGUGGGAAGUCAUUCUCCGAGAAGUCAACCCUUACUAAACAUCUAAGAACACACAGAUGGGAAAUCUUAUGCAUGUAUUCAAUGUGGAAAAUUUUUCUGCUGCUACUACAGUUUCACAGAACAUCUGAGAAGACACACAGGGGAGAAACCUUUUGGAUGUAAUGAAUGUGGGAAAACCUUCCAUCAGAAGUUGGCCCUAAUUGUUCACCAGAGAACUCAUAUAAGACAGAAACCCUAUGGAUGUAAUGAAUGUGGAAAAUCAUUCUGUGUGAAGUCAAAACUCAUUGCACAUCAUAGAACAUACACAGGGGAGAAACCCUAUGAAUGUAA
ensembl:lncRNA ZNF37BP zinc finger protein 37B, pseudogene